GUUACCAUAGCUUAGCAGGAAGAGCAACGGACUGAAAAUCCGUGUUUCUGUGCUUCGAUUCCACUUGGUACCA
rnacentral:tRNA from 1 species